rnacentral:misc_RNA from 1 species
UUUCCGUAGGUGAACCUGCGGAAGGAUCAUUAUUGAAUGAAACACUUCUGGCUUUAUGCUGUUGUGCUGGCCCUUUGGACAAUGUGCACACGGCUCUGGUCACUUGUUUCUUCUGUUCCACCUGUGCACUGCCUGUAGACACGCUGUGUCUAUGAUAUUUGUUAACACACAACAAUGUUAGUUGGCAUGUUAUAUAUAAUAAUAAAAUAUACAACUUUCAACAACGGAUCUCUUGGCUCUC